UACGAAGGGUGCAAGCGUUAAUCGGAAUUAUUGGGCGUAAAGCGCACGUAGGCGGUAUCGUAAGUCCGAUGUGAAAGCCCCAGGCUCAACCUGGGAAGUGCAUUGGAUACUGCGGAACUUGAAUCUGGAAGAGGGUCGCGGAAUUCCCGGUGUAGAGGUGAAAUUCGUAGAUAUCGGGAGGAACACCAGUGGCGAAGGCGGCGACCUGGGCCAAGAUUGACGCUGAGGUGCGAAAGCGUGGGGAGCAAACAGGAUUAGAAACCCUGGUAGU
rnacentral:rRNA from 1 species